CCAAUAGCGUAUAUUAAAGUUGUUGCAGUUAAAAAGCUCGUAGUUGAACUUCGGGAUCAAUUGAUUGGUCAUGCCUUGGUAUGUACUGUUCCUAUUGGUUCUCACCUUCUAAUGAACCAUAAUGUCAUUUAUUUGAUGUUAUGGGAAAUUAGGACUGUUACCUUGAAAAAAUUAGAGUGUUUAAAGCAGGCUCACGCUUGAAUACAUUAGCAUGGAAUAAUGAAAUAGGACAUCGCAUUCUAUUUUGUUGGUUUCUAGGAUCGAUGUAAUGAUUAAUAGGGAUAGUUGGGGGCAUUAGUAUUCAAUUGUCAGAGGUGAAAUUCUUGGAUUUAUUGAAGACUAACUACUGCGAAAGCAUUUGCCAAGGAUGUUUUCAUUAAUCAAGAACGAAAGUUAGGGGAUCGAAGACGAUCAGAUACCGUCGUAGUCUUAACCAUAAACUAUGCCGACUAGGGAUCGUAUGAUGUUGAUUUUUUAAUGACUCAUUCGGCACCUUACG
rnacentral:rRNA from 1 species